CAAAACAUUGUUAUAGCUCACUUACUGCACAGUUUGUUCAUGAAUAAAUAACGCACAGAGAUUUGGAAUAAACAUAGGGAAGUUCAGAGGAAAACAAGAUAUAGGAGGAUGAAAUAAGUGACGAUGUGUGACAUGCUGUUACAGUUAGGUAAGCACGGCAGCACCUUAAGUACUCAUAGGCGGGCCAUGCUCAUCUAUGUUUACAGUCAAACUGUGUCUCAAGGGAUGGGUGCCCCCGACAGAGGCAGCAGAAUAGAGGAGGACUCGAUUGUGCUUUAAUAGCCAAUUGGGUUCUUGAGAGGUCGCUAAGCGCUGCUGUUCACUGUUUGUGUUGUCAGGGAAAAAGCCUUUUGUCAGAUUAUUGUUGAGGAGUAUUUGGUUUUAAUGCACCACUGGCGUCUGCUUGCCUCUGCCUCGAUGCACGCGAGAAACCAAUAUGUUUUGAUCAUCCACUGGCUUCAGGGACGGUGGAACGGUAGAGGACUGGUUAGCACAUCUGCCUCACAGUUCUGAGGACCAGGGUUCAAAUCCUGGCCCCGCCUGUGUGGAGUUUGCACGUUCUCCCCGUGCCUGCGUGGGUUUUCUCCGGGCACUCCGGUUUCCUCCCACAUCCCAAAAACAUGCAUGUUCAGGGUGUACCCCGCCUCUCGUCCGAAGAUAGCUGGGAUAGGCUCCAGCACACCAACGACCCUUGUGAGGAUAAAGCAGUACAGAAAAUGGAUGGAUGGAUGGCUUCAGGGGCUGGUUUACUGGUUCAGGACAGGACAUCAUCACAUCACAUUAUAAUUCAACUGUGGCCAACAAUAAAUGAUUCUGGACAAUA